GUACGAGGCGAGCGUUAUCCGGAAUUACUGGGCGUAAAGCGCGCGCAGGUGGUGCAUUAAGUUGGGCGUGAAAUCUCCCGGCCUAACUGGGAGGGGUCGCCCAAGACUGGUGGACUUGAGGCUGGCAGAGGUAGGUGGAAUUCCUGGUGUAGUGGUGAAAUGCGUAGAGAUCAGGAGGAACACCGGUGGCGAAGGCGGCCUACUGGGCCAGCACUGACGCUGAGGCGCGAAAGCUCGGGGAGCGAACGGGAUUAGAUACCCCGGUAGUCCGAGCCGUAAACGAUGGGUACUAGGUGUUCGUGGUAUCGACCCCACGGGUGCCGGAGCUAACGCGAUAAGUACCCCGCCUGGGGAGUACGGCCGCAAGGUUA
rnacentral:rRNA from 1 species